CCUCUUCGCUGAAUACAGCUCACGGUAAGUACUGGUUCACACAGUUCGUUCUCUGGGUGCUCACUCUCUUUCUCUUUCUCCACAGGCAACGGCUGGGACACACAGGCACAGUUAGUUCAGCUUGGUUUUGCUCUCACCUCUUCGCUGAUUACAGCUCACAGUAAGUACUGGUUCACACAGUUCGUUCCUUGGGUGCUCACUCGCUUUCUCUUUCUCCACAGGCAGCGGCGUAAGUACAGGUUUCCUCGAUCUCUCCUCG
ensembl:lncRNA